rnacentral:lncRNA from 1 species
ACCACUGUCAGCCGCCGCUCGUUUACUGCCUCAUCUUCGCCAGCCACUGUUCGUCAGUCGUCACCUCAUUCAUCUCGCCGGCCGUUGCAGCCUCUCUCGUCGUUGCUCUCGUGCCGGUGAAGGUGAGUACUGAGUUGUCAGUUGUUCAAUGCUUGUAUUUUGUAAUAGCAAUUACAUGUCUAUUCUUUUACUAAAUUAAUAUGCAUGGCUGCCUGGUUCACUGGUUGGUUUGAUUAUUGGGAGUAAAUAACAAUGUAAUUGAUAUUUGAUUGAGAAAAAAAAAAUUAAGAUGAAGCACAGCUGGUUCACUGUGUGUAUUUGCAUGUUGCAACUGCUGACAGAUUUAUUGCUAUGUUGAUUUAUACAUGGCAAUAUCCAUUAGUAUUGUGCAAGGGUGAAGGAAGAGGAAAGAUAAAUACAAAUGUAUUUGUGAAAUGAACUCAAGAGCAUACUGGCUCUGUUAGAAUAUUGGCAUCAUAUGCAUAUCAUCCGGAAAAACAAGAAAGAGACAGCUGAUAAUCUCUCCAGUAAUCCUACAAAAAGAAACUAUUUCAGUUCUAAAUGAUGAUUUCCUAUGCAACAGUUGCUCCAAAUUCAAAUGCUUCAUUCAUUUACUCCAGCCUUUUGCUUCAGCAUUGAAAUGAAGUUCUCCCUCUCCUCCGGUGACAUUCCCUCUGCAGAA